CGAAUGCUGACAUAAGUAACGAUAAAGCGGGUGAAAAGCCCGCUCGCCGGAAGACCAAGGGUUCCUGUCCAACGUUAAUCGGGGCAGGGUGAGUCGACCCCUAAGGCGAGGCCGAAAGGCGUAGUCGAUGGGAAACAGGUUAAUAUUCCUGUACUUGGUGUUACUGCGAAGGGGGGACGGAGAAGGCUAUGUUGGCCGGGCGACGGUUGUCCCGGUUUAAGCGUGUAGGCUGGUUUUCCAGGCAAAUCCGGAAAAUCAAGGCUGAGGCGUGAUGACGAGGCACUACGGUGCUGAAGCAACAAAUGCCCUGCUUCCAGGAAAAGCCUCUAAGCAUCAGGUAACAUCAAAUCGUACCCCAAACCGACACAGGUGGUCAGGUAGAGAAUACCAAGGCGCUUGAGAGAACUCGGGUGAAGGAACUAGGCAAAAUGGUGCCGUAACUUCGGGAGAAGGCACGCUGAUAUGUAGGUGAAGCGACUUGCUCGUGGAGCUGAAAUCAGUCGAAGAUACCAGCUGGCUGCAACUGUUUAUUAAAAACACAGCACUGUGCAAACACGAAAGUGGACGUAUACGGUGUGACGCCUGCCCGGUGCCGGAAGGUUAAUUGAUGGGGUUAGCGGUAACGCGAAGCUCUUGAUCGAAGCCCCGGUAAACGGCGGCCGUAACUAUAACGGUCCUAAGGUAGCGAAAUUCCUUGUCGGGUAAGUUCCGACCUGCACGAAUGGCGUAAUGAUGGCCAGGCUGUCUCCACCCGAGACUCAGUGAAAUUGAACUCGCUGUGAAGAUGCAGUGUACCCGCGGCAAGACGGAAAGACCCCGUGAACCUUUACUAUAGCUUGACACUGAACAUUGAGCCUUGAUGUGUAGGAUAGGUGGGAGGCUUAGAAGUGUGGACGCCAGUCUGCAUGGAGCCGACCUUGAAAUACCACCCUUUAAUGUUUGAUGUUCUAACGUUGGCCCCUGAUCGGGGUUGCGGACAGUGUCUGGUGGGUAGUUUGACUGGGGCGGUCUCCUCCUAAAGAGUAACGGAGGAGCACGAAGGUUGGCUAAUCCUGGUCGGACAUCAGGAGGUUAGUGCAAUGGCAUAAGCCAGCUUGACUGCGAGCGUGACGGCGCGAGCAGGUGCGAAAGCAGGUCAUAGUGAUCCGGUGGUUCUGAAUGGAAGGGCCAUCGCUCAACGGAUAAAAGGUACUCCGGGGAUAACAGGCUGAUACCGCCCAAGAGUUCAUAUCGACGGCGGUGUUUGGCACCUCGAUGUCGGCUCAUCACAUCCUGGGGCUGAAGUAGGUCCCAAGGGUAUGGCUGUUCGCCAUUUAAAGUGGUACGCGAGCUGGGUUUAGAACGUCGUGAGACAGUUCGGUCCCUAUCUGCCGUGGGCGCUGGAGAACUGAGGGGGGCUGCUCCUAGUACGAGAGGACCGGAGUGGACGCAUCACUGGUGUUCGGGUUGUCAUGCCAAUGGCACUGCCCGGUAGCUAAAUGCGGAAGAGAUAAGUGCUGAAAGCAUCUAAGCACGAAACUUGCCCCGAGAUGAGUUCUCCCUGACUCCUUGAGAGUCCUGAAGGAACGUUGAAGACGACGACGUUGAUAGGCCGGGUGUGUAAGCGCAGCGAUGCGUUGAGCUAACCGGUACUAAUGAACCGUGAGGCUUAACCUU
rnacentral:rRNA from 1 species